AGUGAACGCUGGCGGUAGGCCUAACACAUGCAAGUCGAACGGCAGCACAGAGGAGCUUGCUCCUUGGGUGGCGAGUGGCGGACGGGUGAGGAAUACAUCGGAAUCUACUCUGUCGUGGGGGAUAACGUAGGGAAACUUACGCUAAUACCGCAUACGACCUACGGGUGAAAGCAGGGGAUCUUCGGACCUUGCGCGAUUGAAUGAGCCGAUGUCGGAUUAGCUAGUUGGCGGGGUAAAGGCCCACCAAGGCGACGAUCCGUAGCCGGUCUGAGAGGAUGAUCAGCCACACUGGAACUGGGACACGGUCCAGACUCCUACGGGAGGCAGCAGUGGGGAAUAUUGGACAAUGGGCGCAAGCCUGAUCCAGCCAUACCGCGUGGGUGAAGAAGGCCUUCGGGUUGUAAAGCCCUUUUGUUGGGAAAGAAAUCCAUCUGGUUAAUACCCGGGUGGGAUGACGGUACCCAAAGAAUAGGCACCGGCUAACUUCGUGCCAGCAGCCGCAGAAA
rnacentral:rRNA from 1 species